UUUUUUUCGGUUGAAAGAUCGACUCUUUUAUUUCAUUCAAAGUCAUAUAUACACAGAACUUCACCACAACUUCGGCUAUCAUUUUGCUUAAAAUACAGAGCUGUUGCAACUGAAUUCAAAAUUUAAUAAAUAACAACUAAUGCCAGCUUAUUCCAAGAUUUUCUGCUGGUCUUCAUGCUUAAAGAAAAAAAUCCUUCAAUGUUGGAGCUAAAAUGCCAGUACUUCAACAGAUGCAGAUUUUAUAUCAUUAAGGCAAAAACAUACACAUAACAGGGAUCCAAUCACUCACGAGCAACUACAAUCACCUGUUUUCCAACAUUUCUACCCUUAAAAAGGCCUAUGAUGGCUCCAGGGCCCUUCUCCAGUCCUUCAACAAUGUCUUCAAUAUAUGUAAUCUUCCCUUCUCUAAGGUAGGGCAGCACAAUAUCCAAAAACUUGGGAUAUUGGGGAUAAUAAUCAGGUGCUGCAAAUCCUUCUAAGCGGACCCGUUUAUAAACAAUAGACAUCAAAUUACAAAC
rnacentral:misc_RNA from 1 species